AUGCUGACUGUCCCUGAGUGUUUCCAUUUUGUCUUUGCCGAUGGCAGGUGCCUGCUGUCUUCUUCUGAUCACCAGCCAGGUUCAGGGGGAGGGGAAUCCAUAUCCAUCCGGUUCAUUCCUUUCCCUGAACACACUCCUGCAUCUCAGGAAUCAGAUAACAGCAGGUGCUGUGACAUUAUGGCAAACAUUCUUGUCCUGGAGGAGUGGAUGUGUCACCUACUGAAUCUGCGUCUCGAACAUUUCAUCAAUCACCCAUUGAUUGUGCCUCCUCUGGAUCCCAGGCUCAGCUUUCGGCUAUAUAUUCUGAACAGCCAGUACCAAAGCAAGAGAAAGGAUAGGCAUGGAUGUCAGGCAAAGAGAAUAAUUAGGAAGACAAAUCUGGGAAGAACAAGGAGCAAGAAAAGGAGGAAUAGAAGACAUCAGGGCCAGCCACCCAGCUACACAGCAAGCCACAAAGUAAGAAAUAAAGAAAGGUACAUAGAAAUAGAAAACGAUAAAAGAUCAGAGGCAAAAGAUAGAUUGGAUAAUUUAACUUAAGAAAAGCAGGCUAGAAAUAAUCUAAGCUAAGACUGGGCAUUCAUAAGAAAUAAUAAGAUUCCAUGUGAUUAAUUUGGGAGCUGGGUGGUGGGCUCCAAAGAACCAAAAGAGUAAAAAAACAACUACGGGAAAGUAAAUAAUAAAACCCAGAAGCAGAAGUACUUCCA
rnacentral:lncRNA from 1 species